AGAGAUUCAGCAGGCGAGCCCCGCCGGCAUUCCCACUCCCACCAGGCUGAGGCAACACCACGCCGCGCCGCCCCCCAAUUUGUUGCGGCCUGCCGUGCCGCCUCCCGCUUCCGCUCUCCGAUUCGAUUCCCCCCCAACCUCAAUCCGUCCGCCCCGCCGCCCGGCCUCCAAGGCUCCAAUUACUUCCCCACCAGCGAGCGACUCCUUUCAAUUCGCCGCGCCCCCAUCCCCAUCCCCACCCGCCCGCCCGUCCACCUGCCCUGGCCGGCGCGCGGCGCGCGCCCGCCCCCAAACCCUAGCCCGCCCGCGACGGAGGCGGCGAUGUCGGCGCCCUCGUCCCCCCCGGGGCGGGGGGCGGGGGAGUCCGGCGGCGGGCUCCCCGUGCCGGUGCCGGCCGCAGUGGUCGGGGACGACAAGGUCCUGGCGGCGGCGCAGCACAUCGUCAAGUCGCUCGCCACGUCCAAGAACGCCGCCGACGACAUGAUCCGCAUCCUCUCGGGCUUCGACCACCGCCUCUCCUCCAUCACCUCCGACCUCUUCCCGUCCCCGGCCCCGGCCCCCGCCGACGACUCCGACCCGAAGGCCGCGGCCGACCGGGAAGCCCCCGACGCCGCCGCCGCCUCGCUCGCGGCCUUCGACGCCGCCGAGCAGCUCAUCCACCUCUGGGACACCACCCCGGAGGCGCUCGUCUUCGAGGCCCCCGAGGACGACGCAGCGCACUACCUCGCCGCCGUCGACGUCGCCGUCGACCACCUCGCCGCCUCCUCCCCCGCCGUCUCCGGCCGCGCGGGGGUCGCGGUGCAGCUCGCCAUGGCGCGCCUCGAGGACGAGCUCCGCCACCUCAUGCUCCGCCACGCCGUGCCGCUCGACGCCAGCGGCCUCUUCUGCUCCCUCCGCCGCCUCUCGCUCGGGUCCAUGGACGACCUCGACACCUCCUCCGAGUUCGACCCCGCCACCCCGCACAGCCAGGACGGCGGCGGCGGCGGCGCCGGCCCGGACACCGCCCGCAGCGCCGGCGUCGCGGGGAACAACCCCUUCGACGACCACGUCUUCGACCUCGUGCGCCCGGACGCUGUGGACGAGCUGCGCGCCAUCGCAGACCGGAUGGUGCGCGCCGGGUACGCCAGCGAGCUCGCGCAGGUGUACUGCGCCGUCCGCCGCGACCUGCUUGACGGGUGCCUCAAUGUGCUCGGCGUCGAGCGGCUCAGCAUCGACGAGGUGCAGCACGUCGAGUGGAAGCAGCUGAACGACAAGAUGAAGAAGUGGGUCCAUGGUGUCAAGACGGUUGUCCGCUCCCUGCUGACCGGCGAGCGCCGGCUCUGCGACCAGGUGCUUGCUGCGUCCGAUGACCUCCGGGAUGAGUGCUUUGUUGAGUCCACCAAGGGUUGCAUUAUGCAGAUCCGCAACUUUGGGGAUGCGGUGGCUGUGUGCACUCGCUCGCCGGAGAAGCUUUCCCGCAUUCUUGACAUGUACGAGGCGCUUGCUGAGGUGAUCCCUGAACUGAAGGGGCUCUUCUUUGGUAGUUAUGGUGAUGAUGUCAUCCAUGAUUUGGAGGGGGUUCUUGAAAGGCUUGGUGAUGCGGUGAAGGGUACCCUUCUUGAGUUUGGGAAGGUCCUACAGCAGGAGUCAUCGCGCCGGCCAAUGAUGGCUGGUGAGAUCCACCCAAUGACGCGUUAUGUGAUGAACUAUCUUAGGUUGUUGGUCGUUUACAGUGAUUCACUUGACACACUUUUGGAUGACAGUGGUGCUGGAGAUGUAGAUCAUAAUGCUUUACAUAACGGCACCGAUGAGGAUGAAGAGUAUCUGAAGAGCUUGACCCCACUUGGACGCCGUAUGGUCAAGCUGAUAUCUUACUUGGAGGCAAAUCUGGAUGAGAAAUCCAAACUUUACGAGGAUGCUGCAUUGCAGUGCAUAUUUUCCAUGAAUAAUACACUCUAUAUUGUCCAAAAGGUGAAGGAUUCCGAGCUUGGGAGGAUUUUGGGUGAUCAUUGGAUCCGGAGGCGCCGUGGCAAGAUUCGGCAAAAUUCAAAGAGCUACCUCAGGGUUUCAUGGACCAGAGUGUUAUCUUAUUUGAGGGAUGAUGGUCAUGGCAGCAGCGGGAGUGGAAGUUUUGGCAGCAGUGGGAGUUCAAGCUCUAGGAUCAAAGAAAAAAUUAAGAACUUCAACUUGGCCUUUGAUGAGAUAUACCGGAGUCAAACACUGUGGAAAGUACCAGACCCUCAGCUCCGGGAGGAACUCAAGAUAUCUAUAUCUGAAAAUGUGAUUCCAGCUUAUCGUGCUUUUACGGGAAGAUACGGCAGUCUAGUGGAUAGUGGAAGGAAUUCAGGAAAAUACAUAAAGUACACCCCUGAGGACUUGGAAAAUCAUCUGUCUGAUCUAUUUGAAGGGUCACCAGGGGCUGCCAACCAUUCCAGGAGAAGAUGAGAAUUUCUUAUAAUGGUAUUUGGCUACAGUGUUAAAACUUAAAAGUAAUAACAAGCAUUCGGUGGGAUACCUACAUGCUUUUGUUUAUUAUGAUAAAGCCUAAAGGCUAUUUCUAUCCAGGAGCAGUGAUCUUAAGUCUCUUGAUGCCAUACCGCAACCUCCUUUUAUGAGGUGUUCAUGCAUUUCAAUAUUCAAACUUUGUAAUUUUUAUCAACAAUAUUCCAACAGUUUACAAAGAAAAAACAUGGUACCAUUAUUCAUAUUUGAAGUUUUCUAUUAGGGCCAUAGCUUUAUGGCAUAAAAUGAGCGUUCCGAAUUCAAUUUGUUUGUGAAAUCGUGCCCUCAGAAGAUUAUUAAAGACGGUAAUGUUUUUGAAAAAGAAAUUCAUAACCUGCAUGGAUGGCUGGCUAUCACCCUACAACCUUCAGAUAGUAUUUUCCCAGUAUUUCUGGUGCCAUGAUCUUGCAAACUUGAGAGCUUUGGAAAGUAGGACCGCAUGGAAAUCAGCAAUCUAAGUGCCCAAACCAUGACUUAGGCUAUCAGUGUCUUAUUAUUGCUGCUACUACUAUUUAUAUGACUAAUACAUCUUUCGUUUUUCCCUGUUAUAGUGCUAUUUGUUUGUUUUCGGUGCCUCUUAUUG